AGUGAACGCUGGCGGUAUGCCUAACACAUGCAAGUCGAACGGCAGCACAGUAAGAGCUUGCUCUUACGGGUGGCGAGUGGCGGACGGGUGAGGUAUACAUCGGAAUCUACUUUUUCGUGGGGGAUAACGUAGGGAAACUUACGCUAAUACCGCAUACGACCUACUGGUGAAAGCAGGGGAUCUUCUGACCUUGCGCGAUUGAAUGAGCCGAUGUCGGAUUAGCUAGUUGGCGGGGUAAAGGCCCACCAAGGCGACGAUCCGUAGCUGGUCUGAGAGGAUGGUGCGACACCUUGGAAGUGAGAAACGGUACAGACUCCUACGGGAGGACGCAGUGGGGAAUAUUGGACAAUGGGGGAAAGCCUGAUACAGCCAUACCGGGUGAGUGAAGAAGGACUUAGGGUUGUAAAGCCAUUUUGUUGGGAAAGAAAAGCAGCAGGUUAAUACCCGGCUGUUCUGACGGUACCCAAAGAAUAAGCACCGGCUAACUUCGUG
rnacentral:rRNA from 1 species